rnacentral:rRNA from 1 species
GAUGAACGCUGGCGGCGUGCCUAAUACAUGCAAGUCGAGCGAACAGACGAGGAGCUUACUCCUCUGACGUUAGCGGCGGACGGGUGAGUAACACGUGGAUAACCUACCUAUAAGACUGGGAUAACUUCGGGAAACCGGAGCUAAUACCGGAUAAUAUAUUGAACCGCAUGGUUCAAUAGUGAAAGACGGUUUUGCUGUCACUUAUAGAUGGAUCCGCGCCGCAUUAGCUAGUUGGUAAGGUAACGGCUUACCAAGGCAACGAUGCGUAGCCGACCUGAGAGGGUGAUCGGCCACACUGGAACUGAGACACGGUCCAGACUCCUACGGGAGGCAGCAGUAGGGAAUCUUCCGCAAUGGGCGAAAGCUUGACGGAGCAACGCCGCGUGAGUGAUGAAGGUCUUCGGAUCGUAAAACUCUGUUAUUAGGGAAGAACAAAUGUGUAAGUAACUAUGCACGUCUUGACGGUACCUAACCAGAAAGCCACGGCUAACUACGUG